UCCCCACCGCAGUGCAUAGAGACACAGCUGGCCCCGGAGCUCUCCCACCUGGGUCUCAGCUUCUUCCCAAUGCUCCAUGAGCCCUCCGAUUGGAGAGGAGUUGAUGAACAUUCUUCCGUGACCAUUCUGCUUCUGUUGGUGACUUCUUGCCUGCUGCCUGACAGUGGCUGUCCCUGCGACCACAGACUGGAGGCAGGCAGCUUGGGCAGGCCUCCACCAGCAAAGCACUGCUGGCUGGUGGCAACUAUGCAUUUUUUAUUGAAGCACAGGCUCCGGACGUGCAGGCCCAGCGGCCAUGGCUCAUGGGCCCAGCCGCUCCACGGCACGUGGGAUCCUCCCGGACCAGGGGCACGAACCCGUGUCCCCUGCAUCGGCAGGCGGACUCUCAACCACUGCGCCACCAGGGAAGCCCUGAUACGAUUAUUUUUAAAAGCUAA